CCCUUCGGGGGACAGAGUGACAGGUGGUGCAUGGUUGUCGUCAGCUCGUGUCGUGAGAUGUUGGGUUAAGUCCCGCAACGAGCGCAACCCUUGUCCUUAGUUGCCAGCAUUUAGUUGGGCACUCUAAGGAGACUGCCGGUGACAAACCGGAGGAAGGUGGGGAUGACGUCAAAUCAUCAUGCCCCUUAUGACCCGGGCUACACACGUGCUACAAUGGAUGGUACAAAGGGCUGCGAGACCGUGAGGUUUAGCCAAUCCCAUAAAACCAUUCUCAGUUCGGAUUGUAGGCUGCAACUCGCCUACAUGAAGCCGGAAUCGCUAGUAAUCGUGGAUCAGCAUGCCACGGUGAAUACGUUCCCGGGUCUUGUACACACCGCCCGUCACACCACGAGAGUUUGUAACACCCGAAGUCGGUGGGGUAACCGCAAGGAGCCAGCCGCCUAAGGUGGGACAGAUGAUUGGGGUGAAG
rnacentral:rRNA from 1 species